rnacentral:rRNA from 1 species
GGCAGAGGUGCCGAGCGUUAGGCGGAAUCACUGGGCUUAAAGCGUGUGUAGGCGGACCGUUAAGUACCUUGUGAAAUCCCCCGGCUCAACCGGGAACGGCUGGGUAUACUGGCGGUCUUGAGCCAUCCAGGGCAGUCGGAACAGACGGUGGAGCGGUGAAAUGCGUAGAGUAUCGUCUGGAACGCCGAAGGUGAAAACAGACUGCUGGGGAUGCGCUGACGCUGAGACACGAAAGCCAGGGGA